CUGGAACGCUCGUGGGGCGAAUCCAGGGAAAGACAGAGGUGCUAAAUUUUGCAUGACGUGGUAAGGCAGUCAGGAGCCUCGGUGACCAGAGUGGGAGCCUGCACUCAGCCUGGCCCAGCACUGCUGGCAACCUGCCUGAAUUGGUGGCUGAACUGGGCUCCAGCCUCUUCCAAAAACCGUUGGGCCCUGUUGUCCUGAUGAUUCCUGCAGGCACGUGACAGAGAUACUCCAGACAGCCCACCAGGGUACAAAAUGGAAAAAUGGAAUGCAGUCUUGAGAAAAGCUUUUACACCACCAUGGAUCUUGAAUCUUCACUGCCCAGGAUAUAUCCUCAACAGAGUAUCAGUUGAACAAGCGUGUCAGAGGCUCCUGUGUGUGUGUCCCCUGAAUCUGCUGUUCAGCAGAAUCCCAGUUUCAGAAUGCAGAGGGUACAAAACUCAUCCACCAUUCUUUGUCGUGUUGUGAGCCUGCACAGUCUGUUUCUUCUGGAAGAACUCCAAAUGAAAGAUACUGGACAGAGCUCUUCACCUCACAUCUGUCACUGAGGUCUACAUGUGGUUGCUAAGCCUCCCCUAUCACAUGGAAGGGUGGAGACAGGGCAGCAGUUUUCUCUGGAAAAGAGACAGAUGAUCAUGCCAAGUUGUGGAGAAGUACUGGCAGUGGCUUUCUUGGGAAGAGAUUGAGACACCCUUUUGACAGGAGCCAACACCCCUUUUGAGAUGAAAAACGUCCAUCCCACCAUCUAACUCUGCAGUGUCUUCUCCAGCAGGAGCUUCUCUGGAAAACACCCACUGCUGUGGCUGGGCCAGUGGAGAUCCUGCGACUUGCUCUGCUGAUCCUCAGUCAGCACGACCGACCCUUCCCGUCCUCAUGCUCUCUUUUUAUUGCAUUUUUGCCUGUACAAAAUGCUGUGAACAGCC
rnacentral:lncRNA from 12 species